UCUGGUGGCCAUAGCGAGGUGGUCCCACGCCUUCCCAUCCCGAACAGGACCGUGAAACGCCUUAGCGCC
rnacentral:rRNA from 1 species